rnacentral:sRNA from 1 species
UUUCGCCCCCGGCAGCGCGGACAGCGGACCCAAGAUGGCGACCGAGUUGGAGUACGAGUCCGUGCUGUGUGUGAAGCCAGACGUCAGCGUCUACCGGAUUCCGCCCCGGGCCUCCAACCGCGGUUACAGGGCCUCUGACUGGAAAUUAGACCAGCCUGAUUGGACUGGUCGCCUCCGAAUCACUUCAAAAGGGAAGACUGCCUAUAUCAAACUCGAGGAUAAAGUUUCAGGGGAGCUCUUUGCUCAGGCACCAGUAGAACAAUAUCCUGGUAUUGCUGUGGAGACAGUGACAGAUUCUAGCCGCUACUUUGUAAUCCGGAUCCAGGAUGGUACUGGGCGCAGUGCUUUCAUUGGCAUUGGCUUCACAGAUCGGGGAGAUGCCUUCGACUUUAAUGUCUCCUUGCAGGAUCACUUCAAGUGAGUGAAGCUUGUCCUUAGUUACGAGGCUGAAUGCUUAUAGGAAUGCUGCUUCUCACAUGAGUGGGCAGUAUCUCUUCCUCCUGGUUUCUUUAUUUCUUAAACUAUUUCAUUGUGAAUAUAAAUCUCCCCAUUCACUUUUGUUUCCUUAGGUCAUCUUUGUAUCUAUUCUGUUUCCUUUCCUUAUAGCCUGCAAUAUGUUUCAGAUCCCUUGUGCAGUAGUUUGAAAUGAUGCUCUGUCGAAUUUGCCCCAUCUUUUAGGGGGUAGAGGGAGGCCUAUGGUAACAGCAGGGCUUUAUGUGGGGAGUCGUGUGCCACUCUUGUUACCUUAUGUAGCUGACAUGUUUUGUGACUUUUGCAACAUUUCUUUAGCCCACUUGAUUUUGGUGCAGCUGUGGUUGACAGCACUGUGCACACUGUCAGCUUCCUACCUCAAGAGCAAGCAUAUCUCUCCUUUUCUGCCUUAGGACUCUGAAGUUAUAGAAGGCUAAGAGCAAGCUUUAACUUGGAGAGACUAAGAAACUAACACCCCCUCAGGAGCAGCCCUCAACUGUGGGGAAUGGGAAUUGGUGGCUAAAUACCAUCCUUCUGGAAGGGGCAAUUCUAAUACGUAUUCCGUGAGAUUUCUCAGAGAGUCCCCAGUGGAAUUGAACCCCAGUUGUUUUCUUUCUUGGCUUUUUUCCCUUCUGUUUCUCACUCUUUUUUAUCUCUCACUGUGUUUUCUGGAAUCUCAUUUCAUAAAAGUAAAUACACCCAAAUUUGUAUGUCAGACUCUGCUUUCAGGAAAUCUCAAACUAAGAUAACUUGCUGUGUUCCCAAAGGUGGGUAAAGCAGGAAUCUGAGAUUUCCAAGGAAUCUCAAGAAAUGGAUGCUCGUCCUAAGUUGGAUCUGGGCUUCAAGGAAGGACAAACCAUCAAGUUGAGUAUCGGGGUGAGUAUGGUUUUUAAAAAUUUUGUUUUCCUGUGCUUCCAUAAGCCGAUGACAUCUUUCUCUUGCUCUUCUUUUGUUCUUUUGUAGAACAUUACAAACAAGAAAGGAGGUGCUUCUAAGCCCAGGACUGCAAGGGGUGGGGGUCUGAGCCUACUCCCACCCCCGCCAGGAGGCAAAGUCACUAUUCCCCCACCAUCCUCCUCAGUUGCCAUCAGCAAUCAUGUCACCCCACCACCCAUUCCGAAAUCUAACCAUGGAGGCAGUGAUGCAGGUAAAUCUAGUACUUCUAAUUUUGAGAAAUCCAAUCUUAUGUUUUAAUUAAGCAACACCUGUUUGUCAAGGAGAGUUAAUGUUUUUGCUAUGAAAUAGCUCAUGGUACUGACAAGGUGAUUCUGGCAGCUUCUAGCAAGGAAUCAAAGCUUUUCUAGUGAACUAAGAGUCAUAGUAUCUCAUAGGUUCUUUGGCAGAAAAUAUUUGCUUAUUAAAAUGACAAUUUCCUUCAUUUUUUUCUUGGUUAGAUGCUUAUAAGCUUUUGAGUCAGAUGGACCAAGAUUUUGGUCAUGGCUCUGCUACUUUAUAUUUGAAUGUGCUUGGUAAACAUUACUUAAGUUUUUUGAGUUUCAAUUUCCUUAUCUACAAACUGGAGAUGUAAAACCACCCCAGCCGGGGACCUUGGCUCACGCCUGUAAUCCCAGCACUUUGGGAGGCUGGGAUUGCUUAAGCUUAGGAGUUUGAGAUCAGCCUGGGCAACAUGAUGAAAUCCCAUCUCUACAAAAAAAAUACAAACAUUAGUUGGACGUGGUGAUGCACGCCUGUAGACCCAGCUAUUUGGGAGGCUGAGGUGGGAGGAUGGCUUGAGUCUGGGAGGCUGCAGUGAACCAUGACUGUGCCACUGUACUCCAGUGUGGGUGACAGAGUGAGACCUUGUCUCAUAAAAAAACAAAGAAACAAACAAAAAUAAAUAAAUAAAUAGAUAAAAUAAUUACCAUCCCAAGGUCAUGAGGGUUAAAUGAUUGAC